GGGAGCAGGCCAAGCUCAACCAACGCAUUCAUUUCCUGCCUUUUACCGGAUGUGACCGUGAGUUGGCCUACAAUGCUCCCAUUCUAAUCUUUGGAAACCUCUGGACACCCAGAUU
rnacentral:snRNA from 1 species